rnacentral:antisense_RNA from 1 species
UGUCAUGGUGGCUGUGCGUGGGACGUCUUCGGACGUGCCGGUUUCCUAGGCUCCCGGUUUUCCAACCUGCGCACAGCUGCCACCCAU